rnacentral:rRNA from 1 species
UGACGAUUCCUACGGGAGGCAGCAGUGAGGAAUAUUGGUCAAUGGACGCAAGUCUGAACCAGCCAUGCCGCGUGCAGGAUGACGGCUCUAAGAGUUGUAAACUGCUUUUGUAUGAGGGUAAAAUCAGGUACGUGUACAUGCUUGAAAGUAUCAUACGAAUAAGGAUCGGCUAACUCCGUGCCAGCAGCCGCGGUAAUAAU